GGAAGGGGGCACUGCCCGUUGGCAUCUGGCUCUGUGGGCCAGAACCCUCUGGACGGGGCGCAGGCUGGCUGCAGGCAGAAGCCACUGAAGAAGUUGUUGAUGCAUUUUCCCAGUCCUUCUCCCCGUUUCGACUGCCGCAACGACUUGGAGACAAGAAGCCUUCUACAGACUCAGAUCUAAAUGGUAAUUUGGAAAAUACAAGAAAACAAAGAUGAAGAAAAUGGAUAAUGGCUAAAGUGUUUUAAAUUCCUAUGAAUUGCCUCACUUUCACAUCUGCAUAGAAAAUUUUGAUCUGGUGUAACUGCUGAGCAGCAAAUGGAAUGGAAACAGUGAAAAUGAAGUCAUUCUGGACUCUACCUUGAAGUGAAGUCAGAACUACACGAACUGUCCAAGAUGUUUGUUUUGGCUGCAUUCAAGACAGGAAUUGAAGGCAUAUCGUUCACAGGAACACCUACUACCUCCUUGCGGACGAAUGACACGAGGCUGCACAAAUGAGGGCUUCACAACUUCGAACCACCAGAAGAGCUCUGCCAUGAACACCAAGUAGUUACUCUACAUAAGAGAGUUAAGAAAAGGAGAAAAAUCAGGUUUUGUCUCAAGUCCUGGGACCUUAAGGAUUCCUUCUUCCCAUAUUCCACAGUCCUGUUGAAUGCUGAAAGUGACCAGAACUUCCGUUAUGCUCCCAGCAUACUAUCAUAGCAUCUGUCUAAGAUUCAGAAACAUGUAGUGGCUUAACCUCUAUUUUGCUAACUUUAGGACAACAGGUCAGUUUUGAGAAAAAAACCACAACUUUUAAGUUUAGUUUUGUCUUGUAAAAGAAACCUGUAGCUAACAGUGCGUUAAAAACCUAAAAUAAGCAGAAAAAUAAAACUUUUUCCAAAAGUU